CACGUAGGGCGCAAGCGUUGUCCGGAAUUAUUGGGCGUAAAGAGCUCGUAGGUGGUUUGUUAUGUCUGCUGUGAAAACCUAGGGCUUAACCCUGGGCUUGCAGUGGAUACGGGCAGACUAGAGGUAGGUAGGGGAGAAUGGAAUUCCUGGUGUAGCGGUGAAAUGCGCAGAUAUCAGGAGGAACACCGGUGGCGAAGGCGGUUCUCUGGGCCUUACCUGACACUGAGGAGCGAAAGCGUGGGGAGCGAACAGG
rnacentral:rRNA from 1 species